rnacentral:rRNA from 1 species
GACGAGCGCUGGCGGCGUGCUUAACACAUGCAAGUCGAACGGAAAGGCCCUGCUUUUGUGGGGUGCUCGAGUGGCGAACGGGUGAGUAACACGUGAGUAACCUGCCCUUGACUUUGGGAUAACUUCAGGAAACUGGGGCUAAUACCGGAUAGGAGCUCCUGCUGCAUGGUGGGGGUUGGAAAGUUUCGGCGGUUGGGGAUGGACUCGCGGCUUAUCAGCUUGUUGGUGGGGUAGUGGCUUACCAAGGCUUUGACGGGUAGCCGGCCUGAGAGGGUGACCGGCCACAUUGGGACUGAGGUACGGCCCAGACUCCUACGGGAGGCAGCAGUGGGGAAUAUUGCACAGUGGGCGGAAGCCUGAUGCAGCAACGCCGCGUGCGGGAUGACGGCCUUCGGGUUGUAAACCGCUUUCGCCUGUGACGAAGCGUGAGUGACGGUAAUGGGUAAAGAAGCACCGGCUAACUACGUG